rnacentral:rRNA from 1 species
UCUACGGGGGGCAGCAGUGAGGAAUAUUGGUCAAUGGGCGAGAGCCUGAACCAGCCAAGUCGCGUGAAGGAUGACGGCCCUACGGGUUGUAAACUUCUUUUGUCAGGGAGCAAUUGAGUCCACGUGUGGUCUUAGCGAGAGUACCUGCAGAAAAAGCAUCGGCUAACUCCGUGCCAGCAGCCGAGGUAAUACGGAGGAUGCGAGCGUUAUACGGAUUUAUUGGGUUUAAAGGGUGCGUGGGCGGAAUAUCAAGUCAGCGGUAAAAAUUCGGGGCUCAACCCAGUCGUGCCGUUGAAACUGAUGUUCUUGCGUGGGCGAGAAGUAGGCGGAAUGCGUGGUGUAGCGGUGAAAUGCAUAGAUAUCACGCAGAACUCCGAUUGCGAAGGCAGCAUACCGGCGCCCAACUGACGCUGAAGCACGAAAGCGUGUGUAUCGAACAGGAUUAGAGACCCGAGUAGUC